GAAAUAUCGUUGUGAUUUUGAAUAGGCACGUAUUUUUCACGCACUUCAUCUAUUAUUUAGUAAUUAUAUUAUUUCAGAAAUUUGUUUAAAAUUCAUAACUCCUCUUCCCGGAUAUUAAUUUUGGACGUACAACUGUUUUCUAUCAUAUUAUACCCUCUUAAACUGAGUAAGUUCCAUCAGAAGUUCUCGGACACUAUUUAUUCAUCUCCAGUGUAGACUACCACUUUGUCUCGUUCUUUCAACUCUUCACCUUUCGUCCUUAUCAUUAGUUUAUCAUCUGUUCGCCAUAUAUGUGCUCAGCCCAUGAAAGUUAGAUCCUAUUUCCUAUUUAUCUUUUUUCAGCAGUAUUUUAUAUUAGACCAUGAAUUCUUCGUAGUAUCUUCC